rnacentral:rRNA from 1 species
ACUCCUACGGGAGGCAGCAGUGGGGAAUAUUGCACAAUGGGGGAAACCCUGAUGCAGCCAUGCCGCGUGUGUGAAGAAGGCCUUCGGGUUGUAAAGCACUUUCAGUAGGGAGGAAGGUAGUGUAGUUAACACCUGCACUAUUUGACGUUACCUACAGAAGAAGCACCGGCUAACUCCGUGCCAGCAGCCGCGGUAAUACGGAGGGUGCGAGCGUUAAUCGGAAUUACUGGGCGUAAAGCGCAUGCAGGCGGCCUGUUAAGUCAGAUGUGAAAGCCCGGGGCUUAACCUCGGAAUUGCAUUUGAAACUGGCAGGCUAGAGUCUUGUAGAGGGGGUUAGAAUUUCAGGUGUAGCGGUGAAAUGCGUAGAGAUCUGAAGGAAUACCAGUGGCGAAGGCGGCCCCCUGGACAAAGACUGACGCUCAGAUGCGAAAGCGUGGGAGCAAACAGGAUUAGAUACCCCUGGUAGCUACGAG